rnacentral:tRNA from 2 species
CGGGACGUGGCGCAGCCUGGUAGCGCACCUGCUUUGGGAGCAGGGGGUCGGAGGUUCAAAUCCUCUCGUCCCGACCA